GUAAUGUUUCUUGCUCAAAUGAGUAUUCCAAUCACAGUUGCAUUUGGAUGUAUAUCAGUUCAAUAUAUAUGCAUAGUAUAUAUAUGUAUUGGGCUGAUGAUGCUUCUGUUUCUGAGAUGCUCAUUUGAGCAAGCAAUGUUAU
rfam:Corchorus olitorius cultivar O-4 contig16288, whole genome shotgun sequence.